GUGCCCACAGCCUGGUUGUCCCAGCUUAUCUGAAGCCCCUCAGUGGGGUGAGCUUAGCAGAAGCCUCCAGGGAAUGACUCCCUGGAGCCAGAGUGCCCCAGACAGCCCAGCUCGGGGCUUCAGGGGCCCUGGCCGCCUCCCAGGCACUUAUUUUAUGUUCAGAAAGAGCAAAGCUGACAGGUAAUAAAUGGACGAGGAGGACUGGAGUGGGCUCUGACUGUCUGCCCGGCGCCUGCCCGGCCAGCCCGCCAUACCCACCACCACCCUCUCAGGGGGAUGAGAGCACCAUUAAUUACCCAGGAAGAAAGGGCGCCAUGAGGACGCACCCAAUGUUGCUUGGGGACAUCAUCUAUGGCCGCAUUUUCUGAGAGAAGCACCAAGCCUGAAGCUUGGCUGUCACCCCCACCACCCUCUGCCAUCAGCCGGCCAGGCUUUCCUUCUCCCCAGGUCGGUGCCAACAGUUCUCCAAACAGGAGCUCAAGCCACCGUCCCACUUGCCCUGUGAAGAAGGAACUGUUAUCAUUACAUUUUACAGACCAGACAGAGGGAUGCUGGCACCCAAGCCUGACGAGACCCACAAAGGAUGUUCCCUGAAGCAGAACCCCCACGGAGGGGUGGCUAAGUCAAUCUCAUACUGCAGAAAGUUCUACGCAGCAGAUAGAGACAGUGAGGUGGAAUUCUACAGCUGAAUUAGAAAAAUGUGUCCAAAUAUCUUACUGAACGAAAGAAGCAAGUUGCAGAACGAUACAUGACUUUAAAAAAGAAAUUUAAACAGAAUCAUAUUAUUCUAUGGAUAUAUACAUGUGCAUGAAAGUGCAAGGCAGCACUGAGAAAAAUGCCCUCCAAAGGCCUCCCACGCAUUGGCUAGACUCUGCUGCCAGGGGCCCACCCCAACUCUGCCUCAGCCCUAGCCCAGCCCCGCUCUUCAUACACAGGAAGAUCAUGACCCACCGACUCUCACAUCCUGCUGCCAGGAGAGUACACAGCCACAGUCUUUGCAGAGAGUGAGUAGGCAACAUGGAUCAAAAGUUAAAAAUCCAUAAACGUCCAUUUUAAAUUCAUAGAUUCUCCUUCUACAUGCUAUCCUUCAGAUAAACUCUCACAGGCAUGUAAGAACAGAUGUACAAGGAUGUUUAUGCACUCCGGUUUGAAGCAGCAGACAAAAAAAAAAAAAAAAGCACCAAAACUGUAAGCAACGUCUGUGUCCGUCACAGGGGGCCUGGUUGAAUAAAUUAUAGUCUCUCCUGAAAAUGGAAUCCUGUGUGACCGUUCUGCAGCGCGAGGUGGAAAUGUGUAUACCGACACCAUGGACUCGAGGUGAAGAUGCACGGGAUACUUCAGGAUGUGUGGGAUGAUCUCCCGGGUGGAUAGAUUCUUACAUAUGCUUCUGUGUGUGUGUGUGCGUGUGUGUGUGUGUGUGUGUUGAGUAGGGAUGAAGAAAAAAGGCUUAGUUUUCAGUCUAUAAUAUUUGAUUUUAUUUUUAAUAAACAAAAUCAUGACAUGCCAUUUUUAUAGACUAAGAAGCAGAUUUUGGUGCAGGAUGUUGAUGGUGGGGGAGGCUGUGCUUGUGUGAGCACAGAGAGUAGAUGGGAUCUCGUACUUUCUGCUCAAUUUUGCUGUGAACCUAAAACUGAUCUAAAAAAUAAAGGCUAUUUUUUAAAAAAUAGAUUAAAAGUCUUUAGAAAUUCAAAACACAAGAGAACCUUUUCCUCCAAAGUCAGUGCUUCUCCAGGUUGAAUCUUCCUGUGCCUUCGUCAUUCUUGAGCAAGAGCCACUCUCCGAAAGCUCAAACCAGGGGGUGCUGUCAAGGUUUCUCUUCUGGCUGGGCGCGGUGGCUCACACCUGUAAUCCCAGCACUUUGGGAGGCUGAGGCAGGCGGAUCACCUGAGAUCAGGAGUUUGAGACCAGCCUAGCCAACAUGGUGAAACCCUGUCUCUACUAAAACUAUAAAAAUUAGCUGGGCAUGGUGGCAGGUGCCUGUAAUCCCAGCUACUCGGGAGGCUGAGGCAAGAGAAUCACUUGAACCCGGGAGGUGGAGGUUGCAGUGAGCCAAGAUCGCACCACUGAACUCCAGCCUGGGCAAUAGAGCAAAACUCCACCUCAAAAAAAAAAAAAAAAGGUUUCUCGUCUGAAGUUUGGUCUACACUAUCUUGUCUGCCCAGAGUGCCUCACAUCUUCAUUUUUACCAAUACAAAUAUCCUGCUCCAUGAAAGCCCAUUUUGGAUGCCCUCACCCCCAGAAACACAGGCUCUCUGAGGACAGUCUGUGUCCUGAAUAUAUCUCUGCAGCCUCCAGGGAUGCCCAGUGCCAGGCACAAGGCAAGAGCUCAUUAAACGUGUGCCAAGUCACUGGAUGCCCUCCUCUGAACACAUUAACAUUUCUGAAAGCCCCAAGCACUGUCUAGACAUCUCUCUGGGGCCACUCAUCUUGCCUUGAAUCAUAAUUCUGCCUGCCCUUCUUAGUAGGGAGCUCCUCAGAGGGGGCUCCCAGGGCCCACACCCCAUGUGUGCCCCAGCCCUAUAGCCCACUUGGCUCAGGAAUCACAAACGCAAAUGCCAGUGUGAGCCAGGAGGGAAAGGAAAGGAGAGAAGCAGGCUUGGCCAGGCAGGCUAAAUGGGGAACACACUCCAGCCCACACUGUCCUAUUGGAAUGUGGGCCCACGAUGGCCGGAAGAUCAAGUUUACAAGAAGCUACCAGAUUUGGAUGUAAAAUCCUGAUUGUUCAAUGGAGACAACUAGAUCACAUAUUAAAAUAAACACACACCAUACAGGUCACAGCAAAUAGGGCUGAAGGCCAGACUGGCCCAGACUCCCUGCCUGUGGUGCCCCAGGAAGCAACAGUUCAGAAUUGGCAUCAUUGGGAAAAAAAAAAAAAAAAAGCAGAAAGCCCUCCUGAUCCUGCCAUCCCAUCAGCCCAAACUCCAAAACCUACUCACUGCAGAACCCAAACCUCACUGCCAAAGGGAGAUUCAAAGCCCAGCCAUUGGCCAGGCGUGGUGGCUCACGCUUAUAAUCCCAGCACUCUGGGAGGCCGGGGCAGGCAGAUCACCUGAGGUCCGAAGUUUGAGACCGGCCUGGCUAACAUAGCAAAAUCCUGUCUCUACUAAAAAGGUAAAAAUUAAAAUUAAAAUUAAAAAAAAAAAAGAGUUCACCAGGUAUGAUGGUGCGCACCUGUAGUCUCAGCUACUCGGGGGCUGAGGCGCAAGAAUCGCUUAAACCCAGGAGGCAGAGGCCGCAGUGAGCCAAGAUCCCACCACUGCACUCCAGCCUGGGCGACAAGAGUGACUCUGUGUCAAAAAAAAAAAAAAGCCCAGCCACUUUGGUAGCAUCUAUGUUGGCACUGCAGCUCCCAGCUGUGUGACAGGGGUGAAUGACUUCACCUCUCUGAGCCUCUCUCUCUGAGCCUCUACUUCCUCCUCUGUAAAAUAUGGGGAAAAACAAUAACUUCCUACGGAUGUUAUGUGGACACGUCACAGAGGGGCUGACUGCCAAAGCAGGGCCCCUCCCUCCCCAUCUCAGCCCCUCAUCCAUGCCCUGGAUGGGGCAGGCAGUGCGAGUGCUUAGCCUCCGAGAUCCUGGCCCAGGAAGGCCUGUUUAUAGCAGCGUGCUCUUCUCGCAGCCCCCUAAAUCCCCACAACAGAAAUGAAUACUUAUUGAGACUUACGUGCCUGGCACUGUGUUAAAUGCUUCACGUACGUUCCUGUCUUUUAACUUUCUCAGUAAUUCCAGAAGGUAGGUACAGUUGUGUGUUGCAUAAUGAUGGAGAUAUGUCCUGAGAAAUGCAUCAUUAGGCGAUUUUGUUGUUGUGUGAACAUCAUAGAGUACACUUGCACAAACCUAGAUGGUGUAGCCUACUGCACGCCUAGGCUAGAUGGUGGGUAGCCUGCUGCUCCUAGGAUACAAACCUGUACAGCAUGUUACUGUACUGAAUACUGUAGGCAAUUGCAAUACAAUUGUAAAUACUCAUGUAUGUAAACAUAGAAAAAUACAGUAAAAAUAUGGUGCUAAAUCUUAUUGGACCACGAACAUAUAUGCAGUCUGUCCUUGACCGAAAUAUCAUUAUGUGGCACAUGACUGUAUUUUUACCUCCCCAUCUUACAGAUGAGCAAACUGAGCCUCAGAGAAGUGAUCUGACUUGUCCAAGGCUGGUUUGUAAGUGGCAUGGUCUGGAUUUGGCCGUAGGCUAUUUCAGCAAUCUCAGCCACCACUCCAUCCUGCUCCUCAGGUGCGUGCCUUCCUCCUUGCCACGAACCUCUGUGACUCCUACAAGCUGCCAGGUGUUAACCUGGUCAGUCCUGGGGACACCAGGAACAACACCAGCUCCUGCCUCUGGGCAGCCCCACUGGGUCCGUGGCACAGACAACCAUAGACUCUGCCUGGAAAAGCUGCUUCAUGGAGAAGGUGACACCUGAGCCAGGGCCAACAGGUGCACAGGGGCUUCUCAGUCUAGCAGGUGAUUAAACAUAGACUCAAGUAACCAGCCAUGGAGUUGAAAAUCCAGCUAAGAGCUACGAUGGAACCAGAGAAACCAGCUCCCC